AUCGGUGAUGCAGCGUUUGAUUCUGUUUUGGCUUCGUUUGGAAGUAACUGGCAAUAUGUCUAAAAUCAACAGGACAUGACUUGGCGACAUAUAGACGAGAGACUAUUAAGUUGCUAGACUACUUGUGCUGUAACCUGGGCAAUGAGACAGAAAGCAGCGCUCAGCAGUUCAGCUGGAAUCUUAAAGACACUGCAAAGAUUUGCUGCCAUACUUGGGGAAAAUGAAUUAUGUUGACAUAUGGCUGAAAACAAUGGUGGAAAGGCAAGCAACGUAAGGUAAUGAAGAAUCAUACGGUGUUGUGGAGGAGAAGAUCUGGAGCUGUUCCUUUGAGCCCUCUAUGACAGGUAUACAGAGCCACCUGCCAGCACAGUAUUUCAGUGAUAAAUGCAGUGGGUCUGGGACUUCCAUUCACUAAACUCGGGAGUGUGCUGGGCUGAUACUUCAAGGUCAAGUGAAUAUGAAAGAGCCAAACCACACAGCUUGCUAAAAAGAGCGAGAGAGUGAGCGCCUCUUAUCUGCUUCUUAACUUUGACAACUUCUAAAUGUUAUGUUGCUUAAAUUCAUGUGACGUGCUUAUAAUAUUGGAUGUUUGUGAUUUUAAAAAUUCAUAAUCUGUCAGCCGCACAUGCUGUAUUCAAUCUAGUUCCUUUACACACUGAUAACAAAAAUGACAACGACUAUAUAAAAAUGAAGGCGAAACUCUACUC